UACGAAGGGGGCUAGCGUUGCUCGGAAUCACUGGGCGUAAAGGGUGCGUAGGCGGGUCUUUAAGUCAGGGGUGAAAUCCUGGAGCUCAACUCCAGAACUGCCCUUGAUACUGGCGGUCUCGAGUCCGGGAGAGGUGAGUGGAACUGCGAGUGUAGAGGUGAAAUUCGUAGAUAUUCGCAAGAACACCAGUGGCGAAGGCGGCUCACUGGCCCGAUACUGACGCUGAGGCACGAAAGCGUGGGGAGCAAACAGGGA
rnacentral:rRNA from 1 species